GACUAUACAUAUAUAUCCAUGGGAUGAAUGAAAUAGCAGAUGUACUUGUGUUAUGCACUGAAGACUUGUGGCAUGGGACAGACCUUCCAAUGGCAGCACCAGCAACAGAUUCAAAAGCCCGGAAUGAACGUGGUGUGCUCUGAGAAACAGAUGACUCAGGGAGGUAUCAAAAGUGUCUCUAAAGAUACUGAAUAAAACUGUUUUAUAAAAUUGUUUCAGCAGGACGGCUCCAACCUUCAUCCCAGAAAUCCUACUGAGUUUACUGGAAAUAACAGGAUUCAGAUUACUCAAAUGGUUGAGAGCAUCUGCUUUCCUGCAAGACGCACAGCAGGAUGAAGCAAAAGACAUCACUCAAGAUCUGGCACGUUGACCAACAGUCAGACGGAGAUCUGGCAAGGACUGAAGAAUCACCUGACCUUGUGACUUUUUACAAGAUUCUGAGGGAUUAUCACAGGGAGCAUGAUCCCUCCAGGAACUAUAGAGAAGAAAUCUUUUACUGAGAUGGAUGGAUUUUGGGGUGUGGGCAUAUACACUUCAAUAUGAUGUCUGUGGAUAUACCCCUAAAUAUGAUGUCUAUUUCACCUUAGGGAAAAAAGAAGAGUCUGCUUUAGAUUUCUUCAAGAAGAGAAUUCAUUAGAGAAUUCUUAAAAGGAACCUGAGCCACCCUGGAAGUCCUGAGGUGAGACACACCUCCAUCUUACUGGAGACAACUGGGAGAGGCACGUCAGCCCGAUCAGGCAAACUCACACUUGGUCCCUGAGGGAGAUGUGGAACUCAUCAGCCAUUACUCCUGGACUUCAUUUUCAGAUCCCCUUCCUACAGGUUGCAGCUGUGUCUCUCAGGACCUGGAAACUGUCUUCUUCAGAGAGCAUCAUGAGGUAGAUUUCACACAAGUGAGUCAGUGUGGUGUGGUGGAAAACCACAAGACAUAAAGCCAGGAGACCAGCGAAUAAUAGUUCCACCACAUACCAUCUGACCUAAGUCAAGCCAUUCACCCUCUCAGGUCCAACCCCCUUUCCUAUAAAGCCCCAUAACAAUGGUGUCCAUCCUCCCUAUUUGGGGGUUGCUCAUUGUUUCUUCAUUCAACAAACACAGACUAAGCAUCAACAAUGAAAAAUCACACACAGGCCAAGCCCUCCUGAGCUUGACAGAAUAGCAUGCAACAAACUCUCUGAAAAACUAAUUACAAGUGUUCUGUUGUUUCAAAAUAAAGAACAAGAUGCACUGGGAGAUUGUGAACAGAUUCCUAGACUGGGGUUCAAAAUAACCUCCUAGGGGAGUCACACAUAAGGGGAUGGUACUCUAAGAAUCCAUUCAUUUAACCAAAACUUCCGUCUAGCCUAUUAUGGGCCAGGAAGUGGGCAUGUGGCUGGGGAUUUAGGAGUGAACAGGACAGAUGUGGCCACGCCCUAAUGGAGCAUACAAUACAGUGGAGGAGAAAGGUCAUCACAAAUUACACAAAUAAUGAAUUAAUUACUAUUGUGAAAAACACUGUGAAAGGAAAGAACUGAGAUAAAGUAUAUAAAAGUGCUUCAUGAAUUAGCACAUCCUUUAUAAAUGUUCCUCUCUGUUAAGAAGG